rnacentral:lncRNA from 1 species
AUGUCCACCCCCGGAUCCCUCCAUGUCCCCAGCCCCCCCACCACCGCAGUAGCCACCCUCCACCCACCCAAGAAGACCUCCGCCUUCCCAUUUGCUCGUCCUUUGGGCUGGGCAAAACAAAACGGAGACGGCUUUGGGUCCCUGGUGGGCCUGGUGGGCCUCUUGGCUGCUCCUCUCGGCCUCUGGAGGGGCCGCGUGGCUCUCGCUCCCCCUCAGCAGCUGGGGGGCCAGGAUGCUCAGGUUGCUCUUUGUAAAAACAGCUGCGGUAGCCGCGCUCUGAGGCUGCUUGUGCGAAGGCUGGAUGGAAACCCCUGGAUGCAAACCCCUGGAGGGAAACGAGGAGCGGUGGAAGGAAACCACACACAUCCAAGCAGGAGGGAAGAGGCUUUCCUGCAGAGGUUUAAGCCAGAUUCAGCCCGAGCCAUUUCAGCACAUUUACAUGUUGCAUAUUUAAGAAGAAACAUGCCCUGGGAUCUUCAGGAAGAAGCACGGACAUCUGUGGAUGUUCAGGUAACCUCCAUGCACACAUUAUCAGCAGCUUGAAAUCACAAAUCAAAGCAAAGGGGCAGGGAAAAAUCACUUUUCAGGGACUGUAACAGCCAAAGGAAGAGCUUUCCAUGGUGAAAACAAAGGUAACCUGCUGAAGCUGAGGUACACAGCAACAUGGACAAAUUGAGAAGAACAUGUCUAUAAUGUGAUAGUAAAAGGUAGUGUAGGCCAUUCCUCAGGAAAACAGUCUGAAGGUUUGUCUGGGCUACCAGUGUGCCUGCAGCCCCAAGGUCUCCAUCGCUGCCCUGGGAAGAUCUGGCACUGCAGCCAAGCCCUGCAGGAGGCCGUAGUCCAUUCAACAAUGGUUUUGCAGAUAAAAAACCCUGUAAAAUAAAAAAAUGAACUGUUCCA